CCUACGGGAGGCAGCAGUGGGGAAUAUUGGGCAAUGGACGCAAGUCUGACCCAGCAACGCCGCGUGAAGGAAGAAGGCUUUCGGGUUGUAAACUUCUUUUAAGGGGGAAGAGGAGAAGACGGUACCCCUUGAAUAAGCCACGGCUAAUUACGUGCAAGCAGCCCCGGUAAUACGUAGGGGGCAAGCGUUGUCCGGAUGUACUGGGGGUAAAGGGCGUGCAGCCGGGCCGACAAGUCAGAUGUGAAAUCCGGGGGCUUAACCCGCGAAUGGCAUUUGAAACUAUAGGUCUUGAGUGCAGGAGAGGUAAUCGCAAUUCCUUGUGUAGCGGUGAAAUGCGUAGAUAUAAGGAAGAACACCAGUGGCGAAGGCGGAUUACUGGACGGUAACUGACGGUGAGGCGCGAAAGCGUGGGGAGCAAACAGGAUUAGAUACCCCAGUAGUC
rnacentral:rRNA from 1 species